UUUUGACACAAGCGAUACUAGGAGAGAGAAGAUCGAAGACCUACACACGACUGCCCAAACGACAAUUUAUAUGAAUACGAACUCGAUUGCCUGGUGCAGUUUCAAUAUCACAUAUCCCUGCUCAACUCUGGCAAUCUAAAUAGACGGACCAAAAUUUGAACACAUAGACGGACCAAAAUUUGAACAAUCACUUUUUAAACAAGCUGGAAAGCUCACCCUUCUCCUGCAUGGAACCUAGAAUAUCACAGCCCCCAAGC
rnacentral:lncRNA from 1 species